rnacentral:lncRNA from 1 species
UUAUUGUCUUCUAACUGUUAGCCUGUUUUUGUUCCCCUCAACUGUCCAGGCCAGAGCCACAGACACCUGUAGUCCCACAUGGAGGAAUCCUGUUGUGGAGGACCAUAAAGAAAAGACUGCUGUCCAAACUCCAGUGCCCUGUAUCCUUAGGUGGCAUGGGUCAGGCCCAGUGGUGAUUUUAGAUUACCCAUCCAUGACUGGAUAGCUCUUCAGA